rnacentral:misc_RNA from 1 species
GAAGAAGAAGAAGAAGAAGAGUAAUAAAUAGGUUCUCUCUUAUUUCCUCAGGAGGGAAUUUGUGUGCUGAUAUGAUGUGGCUGCAAAAGUGGUGGUGGCUUAGCAAGAAGAGGAAUAACAUGCAAGCAAGCAAGAAGGUGAUUAAAAAAAAUGCAAGAGCCUACCUUUAUGAGAAAGGUAGUAGAUGAUGUUAACAUAUUGAUGCUAAUAAAUAGGGUUCUAGUUCUGGUAUAGGUUAGCUGAGCUGAAAUAUGGUGUAGUAUUCGAGUCUUGAGGAGUUUUAAAAGAGAUGGGGAUUGAUCGAUCACUACUCUCUA